AGGAUUAGGGGUGCUUCCCGCAGAAGCGGGCGGCUGAGAAUAUACCCUUGAACCUGAUGCGGGUAAUGCCGCCGUAGGGAGGAU
rnacentral:ncRNA from 1 species